rnacentral:misc_RNA from 1 species
AAGAAUCGCCCCGUUUUUUGAAAUGGGUUUUAUUCCCAAACCGUGUAUACAUACCUUUGUUGCUUUGGCAGGCCGCCUUCUAGGCGUCGGCUUCGGCUGACUGCGCCUGCCAGAGGACCCAAACUCGUUUUGUUUAGUGUCGUCUGAGUACUAUAUAAUAGUUA